rnacentral:rRNA from 1 species
AUUGAACGCUGGCGGCAGGCUUAACACAUGCAAGUCGAGCGGGGUGAUGGUGCUUGCACUAUCACUUAGCGGCGGACGGGUGAGUAAUGCUUAGGAAUCUGCCUAUUAGUGGGGGACAACAUCUCGAAGGGGAUGCUAAUACCGCAUACGUCCUACGGGAGAAAGCAGGGGAUCACCUGUGACCUUGCGCUAAUAGAUGAGCUUAAGUCGGAUUAGCUAGUUGGUGGGGUAAAGGCCUACCAAGGCGACGAUCUGUAGCGGGUCUGAGAGGAUGAUCCGCCACACUGGGACUGAGACACGGCCCAGACUCCUACGGGAGGCAGCAGUGGGGAAUAUUGGACAAUGGGGGGAACCCUGAUCCAGCCAUGCCGCGUGUGUGAAGAAGGCCUUAUGGUUGUAAAGCACUUUAAGCGAGGAGGAGGCUCUUUUGGUUAAUACCCAAGAUGAGUGGACGUUACUCGCAGAAUAAGCACCGGCUAACUCUGUGCCAGCCGCCGCCGUAA